rnacentral:rRNA from 1 species
GACGAACGCUGGCGGCGUGCUUGAUACAUGCAAGUCAAGGAGAACAUUAUCUUCGGAUAAUAAGUAAACUGGCGAACGGGUGAGUAACGCGUAAACAACUUGCCUCAGAGAUUGGGACAACAUUGGGAAACCAGUGCUAAUACCAAAUAAUGCAGCGGGCUCUUCGGAGCACAGUUGUUAAAGUAGGCUUCGGCUUACACUUUGAGAUAGGUUUGCGUCCGAUUAGUUAGUUGGUAGGGUAAAAGCCUACCAAGACCAAGAUCGGUAGCUGGUCUGAGAGGAUGAUCAGCCACACUGGAAUUGAGAUACGGUCCAGACUCCUACGGGAGGCAGCAGUAAGGAAUUUUGCACAAUGGGCGAAAGCCUGACGCAGCCACGCCGCGUGCCGGAUGAAGGCCCUAUGGGUUGUAAACGGCUUUUACUAGGGAAGAACGAGAGGGUUUCGAUCUUCUGUGACGGUACCUAGUGAAUAAGCACCGGCUAACUCCG